AAGGAAGCUUUCAGUAAGUGGUUGGUGGUGCUUAUUUGCGGCCAUGGCUUAUUGAGACUGGAAGCUGUGGGGACUCCGGUGCACGAUGGUGGAUGUUCCAUGAAUGCUGGCAAGAAGAGUGAGCAUGGGGUCUGGCCAAAAAGAGAGCUUCCUAAUGAGGCAUCCUGGAAACUGAUGGGAACUGUGUUCUUAUCCAUCUCCCCCAUCUCUUGUGCCCCAGGACAUCAACUGGGAGUGGCCCAGAAGCCCGAAGCUGAGAGGACAAAGCUCACUGGGCCCACUCAACAUGAAGAUGACAAGGAUGAAGACCUUUAUGAUGAUCCAUUCCCACUUACUGAAUAGAUGAAGCUUCUUGGUGAUGUAACAGUCUGUGGAAACUCCCACAGGACAAAUGCAGAAAGGAAGGA
ensembl:lncRNA ETS2-AS1 ETS2 antisense RNA 1